UACGUAGGGUGCAAGCGUUAUUCGGAAUUACUGGGCGUAAAGCGUGCGCAGGCGGUUGUGCAAGACAGAUGUGAAAUCCCCGGGCUUAACCUGGGAAUUGCAUUUGUGACUGCACGGCUAGAAUCUGGCAGAGGGGGGUAGAAUUCCACGUGUAGCAGUGAAAUGCGUAGAGAUGUGGAGGAAUACCGAUGGCGAAGGCAGCCCCCUGGGCUAAGAUUGACGCUCAUGCACGAAAGCGUGGGGAGCAAACAGG
rnacentral:rRNA from 1 species